GGGUAAUACUGGCGUCCUUAGUUUUGCAAGUGAGCGAUGCAGGCCUCCUGUGGUCGUUCUGUUCCGGCGCCGGGACCGCGGCCACUCCCAUCCCAGAGAGGAGGGUGCCUUUCUCCUAGGACAGCUUGGUCAGGUGACCUUGGCGGCUCUUACUCAGCCAGGGACCCGGAAGGACGAGGGAUCAGGAGGCCGCGCGCGUGCGGGCAGGACGGCGGGCGCGGGGCCAUGAGGUCCCCGAAGCUGCCUGGGCUCGUACUCUCGCUGCUGCUGCUGCUGCCGCCGCCGGGUCCAGUUGGCGGCGCUGCGCGCUUCGACCCCACCUGGGAGUCCCUGGAUGCACGCCAGCUGCCCGCCUGGUUCGACCAGGCCAAGUUCGGCAUCUUCAUCCACUGGGGCGUGUUCUCCGUGCCCAGCUUCGGGAGCGAAUGGUUCUGGUGGUAUUGGCAAAAGGAAAAGUUACCAAGUUAUGUGGACUUUAUGAAAAAUAAUUACCCUCCUGAUUUCACAUAUGCUGAUUUUGGACCACUGUUUACAGCAAAAUUUUUUGAUGCAAACCAGUGGGCAGAUAUUUUACAGGCUUCUGGUGCCAAAUAUGUUGUCUUAACUUCCAAACAUCAUGAAGGCUUCACCUUGUGGGGCUCAGAGCGUUCGUGGAACUGGAAUGCUGUAGAUGAGGGGCCGAAGAGGGACAUUGUCAAGGAACUUGCAGUAGCCGUUAGGACCAGGACUGACCUGCGCUUUGGACUGUACUAUUCCCUUUUUGAAUGGUUUCAUCCGCUCUUCCUUGAGGAUGAAUCCAGCUCAUUCCAGAAACAACAAUAUCCACUGUCUAAGAUGCUGCCCGAGCUCUACGAGUUAGUGAACCAGUAUCAGCCUGAGGUCCUGUGGUCAGAUGGUGAUGGAGGGGCCCCAGAUACCUACUGGAACAGCACAGUCUUCCUAGCAUGGUUGUACAAUGAGAGCCCAGUUCGGGACACAGUGGUCACCAAUGACCGUUGGGGAGCUGGUAGCAUCUGUAAGCACGGUGGCUACUAUACCUGCAGUGAUCGUUAUAACCCAGGACAUCUUUUGCCACAUAAAUGGGAAAACUGCAUGACAAUAGACCAGUUUUCCUGGGGCUAUAGGAGGAAUGCUGGAAUCUCUGACUAUCUUACAAUUGAAGAAUUGGUGAAGCAACUUGUAGAAACAGUUUCAUGUGGAGGAAAUCUUUUGAUGAAUAUUGGGCCCACAAAAGAUGGCACCAUUUCUGCAAUUUUUGAGGAGCGAUUAAGGCAAAUGGGGACCUGGCUAAAAGUGAAUGGAGAAGCCAUCUAUGACACUCAUGCUUGGAGAUCCCAGAAUGACACUGUCACCCCAGAGGUAUGGUACACGUCCAAACCUAAAAACAAAUUGGUCUAUGCCAUGUUUCUCAAAUGGCCCACAUCAGGACAGCUGUUUCUUGGUCAGCCCAAAGCUACUCUGGGGGCAACAGAGGUUGAACUACUGGGACAUGGACAGCCACUUCAAUGGACUCCUUUGGAGCAAAAUGGCAUCAUGGUAGAACUGCCUCAGCUAACUGUUCAUCAGAUGCCCUGCAUUAUUCUGAGGAGGCGUCCACAGGCUUCUCCAGAUAGUGAAAGGAUCUAUGACAACAGAAACCAUUAAGUGCCCUGUGAGCAGCAGAGAAACAAGAAGUGAACCUAUCCUUUGUGUUCUCUCCUAAGCAUCAGAAAACCCAAGUGAGCUUAGAAGUAAGAAUGAAGGCAGAGAAUUCAUUACCUAAAAUGUGGAGUUCAGGAUACACCUAACUUGCUGCCUGAAGUUUGGCCCAGAAGAGAGUACAUACUGAUGGCUGUGGCACCAACUAGGCAGACCAUAAAGUCCAUGAAGACAAGAGUGGUGUACUGUGGAAAGAGAAUGUGCUUCGGGAUCUAACACACCUGGGUUUGAGUUCUAGCUUCCCUGUUCCUAACUCUGGGAACCUCAACAAGUUUUUAAAUUCUUAGCACUCUGGUUCCCACAUUUUUGAAUGGGGAUAACAAUAACUAUCCUGUCAUCAUCCCCACUGAAUAGAAGAGCUUAAUACAGGGCCCAUUGGGCACCCACAAAAUGGUAGCUAUUACUAUUAAAAAUCUCUGUAAAUCUUGUAUUUCCAAUCAUAUUACCUUCAACACUACAGGCACUGGAUAAAUAUUUCUUAAAAUUGAUUAACUGAUAUGUACCAUGUUAUAGGACCUUUCCCUUGAAGCAGAAAGACUAUGAGGCUCAAACAAAUGCCAAUCAUGGUCAUCUACUCUUUUUUCUUUUUAGACUGACAUCCAUUCUUGUUAUAAAACACUAGGAUUAUUUUCUUUUUCUGUUCCUCUGAACCUCUUCCCCCCUUUCUCAUUCCUCUUAAUCUCUAACUAUAAAGCUCUCAAUAGAUUUUUGAAAAAAAUCUAUAACUAUCUUUCUUUUUUGAAUUUUUGAAUUUUAUUUAUUUUUUUAUACAGCAGGUUCUUAUUAGUUAUC